GACGAACGCUGGCGGCGUGCUUAACACAUGCAAGUCGAACGCUGAAGCUCAGCUUGCUGGGUGGAUGAGUGGCGAACGGGUGAGUAACACGUGAGUAACCUGCCCUCUUCUUUGGGAUAACGCCCGGAAACGGGUGCUAAUACUGGAUAUUCACUGAUUCUCGCAUGGGGGUUGGUGGAAAGGUUUUUUCUGGUGGGGGAUGGGCUCGCGGCCUAUCAGCUUGUUGGUGGGGUGAUGGCCUACCAAGGCUUUGACGGGUAGCCGGCCUGAGAGGGUGACCGGUCACAUUGGGACUGGGAUACGGCCCAGACGCCGACGGGAGGCAGCAGUGGGGAAUAGUGCACAAUGGGCGAAAGCCGGAUGCAGCGACGCCGCGUGAGGGAUGGAGGCCUUCGGGUUGUAAACCUCUUUCGCUCAUGGUCAAGCCGCAGCUUUGGGUUGUGGUGAGGGUAGUGGGUAAAGAAGCGCCGGCUAACUACGUG
rnacentral:rRNA from 1 species